CCUACGGGGGGCAGCAGUCGAGAAUCAUUCACAAUGGGGGAAACCCUGAUGGUGCGACGCCGCGUGGGGGAAUGAGGUUCUUCGGAUUGUAAACCCCUGUCAUGUGGGAGCAAAUUAAAAAGAUCGUACCACAAGAGGAAGAGACGGCUAACUCUGUGCCAGCAGCCGCGGGAAUACAGAGGUCUCAUGCGUUGUUCGGAAUCACGGGGGGUAAAGCGUGCGGGGGCUGUUUCGUAAGUCGUGUGUGAAAGGCGCGGGCUCAACCCGCGGACGGCACAUGAUACUGCGAGACUAGAGUGAUGGAGGGGGAGCCGGAAUUCUCGGUGUAGCAGUGAAAUGCGUAGAUAUCGAGAGGAACACUCGUGGCGAAGGCGGGUUCCUGGACAUUAACUGACGCUGAGGCACGAAGGCCAGGGGAGCGAAAGGGAUUAGAUACCCCUGUAGUC
rnacentral:rRNA from 1 species